rnacentral:lncRNA from 1 species
AGCUACCAUUUUUGCCAUUCAAGGAAUGCUUUUUAGAGAGUUGAAAACUCCAAAAUACAUACGACUAAGAAUAAAAUAAUUACUGUUCCAUUGAAAAGAAAUCUUUGGAAAAUCCAGUGGUAUUCACUCUGAGAUAAUUUCUGAUGAGAUGAAGGUUAAAAUGAGUUGAGUUAGCUGGUGCUCAAGGUUUUUCUGUUCAUUUAUGGUUUGGUUUAAUUAUUGGGGCUUUGUUGAACACUAUUGAGACUUUUAUGCGAUCAAAUUUUGUUCAAAAACUGGUUCUCUUUGAUUAUUUCUGGGCUGAUUUGUUGUUGAUGUUGUCUUUGAUCUUCACAUCUUCUUCAUUUUUCUUUGCAAAUUCCAGGUAUUAUUCACUCCCCAUGGAUGUCACUAGAUGUACAACUUGGAGAAUAGAUUUGAGUGAAGUGAAUUUUGAUGCCUUGUUGUAUGAAUAAGCUUUUCUUUCUUGUAGUCGUGUGUACAUUUUGGUAGUUAGUAAAUGAGAAUGCCAAAUGAUUUAAGUAUCUUGUGUUACUAGUGAUAUUAAGUUUAAAUUAUAGGCUCAUAUGUAUGUUUUUUUUGGUUUCACUAGUAAAUCUGGUUCUGUGCUAAUGAGCACAGUUUAUUUUAGUUAGUAUGAAUUAAUUGUUGGCUUAAGAAGGAAACCAUUCACUCUGAAAUAUCAGCUUUUUGUAUGCUGGCUAUAACAGAAAAUUUAGUUGUUGAGAGGCAUGAUUUGAGUGUAGGCUCGUUGGAUUUAUGGUGAUAAAUUGUUUAAUUGACUCGUAUAUGUUUAGAUUUGUUUUUAGUCAAAAUUUGAAGUUAAGUGUAUGCUUUGUAGGACCCAUUCCCGAUUCAUUUUUUUUAUUCUGAAAGUGUCAACAUGCACAUAAAAGAUUAGAGCAUGUGAGUUAAAGUGUUUCUUUUGAUAAACAUGUAUGUGAACUCAAGCAAUUAUGGAUAUAUGUCUAAAUGCUCUAUAUGUUAAAUUUGGCUCCAACUGAUGAUUGCAUAAGUUUUUUAUAUUAUAAAAUCAGUGCUUGAAAUAAAAUUGGACAUUGAUAUCAAGGCGUAGUGAAAAAAUUUUCCAUUUGGAUAAUUGUUAAGAACGUCCCUUUGUUUUGCUUUCACUAGGGUUCGGUCCAAGAUCCCUCUGCCAGCACCCCAUGUCGAUAAUGAUUGGGCUCUUUUGGUCCUAAACAGUGAAAUUGUAUUGGAACGAAGAGGUGCCUACUACCUCGAGCAGUUUGUUAGUUCUUUGUUGUUUGUCUCUUAAUAGAAAUUUCAACAGAUUAUUGGUCCUAUCCCCGAGACUUGGUGCCUUUGAAUAUUCAAUUGUUUAAUUUUAAAUAGAAAUAGUCGUAAUCUCUUUAAGUCUCUUAUUAAUUGGUUUCCCGAAAAAACAAAUUUGAGGUGAGCCAUGUUGCAUAAUAAAAACAAGUUUAUAGCUGUCUAACACGUAGCUCGAACUUUCUCUGAGAGUUAGAAUUGAGGUGAGC